AUCCGUCUUUAAUGGGUAAUGACAUAAGCUAUAACGAUAUUUAUGAAUAUGGUUAUUAUGAUUCACAACAUGAUGCAUUUAGUGAACAACAAGAAAUAAGUGUUUUUUUUUGUAGUUCAGACCAAUGUAACUUAUUUUUUCAACGUAUAGUAGCAUAUACAGAAAGAGAAACAGAAACAAGUUCAACAAUACCUCCUAUUGACUCAAGGAAUUCGGACAUUGUUAUACGAAAUUCCGAAGGAACCGUUAAUACUGACUAUACGUCUCGUAUUUACUCGUGGUCUGUUAUCAAUUUAUUUUUAUAGAUACAAAGCGCUGCAUCCUUACUGAUUGAUUUGGAAGGAAGUUUUGUAGUACGACGUGUACGAGAAUUGGCAUCAAAGCAACAAGUCUUGCAAUGUCUAUCUAAAGCUAACAACUUUCAUUGUAAACCACGAAUUCUGGGUUUAGAUGCCAUUAAAGUUCAACGUAGCUCCACAUCUUUAUACAUUCGAUCCCUCGCUGUACAAAAUAAAAUGGGAAUGCUAACUUCGUUGAAACGAUCUGCAGGAUACCCAAAGUGCAGUUUAGACGAGCUUUAUUGUGCUAUUUGUUUGGAGGUGUUUUGUCGUCCUGUGGUGACCGAGUGUUGGCAUAUAUUUUGCGUAGAUUGUAUCAAAUCCUCUUUACAUCGAAAAAAUUCUUGUCCUUUAUGUCGAGCGUCAAUUCAAUCACAGUCACUCCAAGCUUUGGAUACAGUCAAAAAAAAUCAUCAUAUUAAAAGAAUACAAAAACAAUUUUUAUCAUUGUUUGUUGAAUGUCCUAGAUGUCUAUGGAAUGGAAGAAUGUAUGAGUGGAAUUUUCAUCAAACCUUGUGUUUUCGUCAGGAAACUGGAAACGCUCAAAAAAAUAUAAAACAUUUUAAGUGUGUUUCGCAAGCUUAAUGAUAUUCACUAGGGUUAAGCUCAACCCUUGGAUAUGCAAGACUACAUUGAUAGAGAGUCGGGCGAUUGUUUUUUUUUUCAAAACGAAAAAAUAACCUUUAAACUAUCAUUUUAAUGAAAUGAAUUUUGUACCAUUCAUUUAAUUUUCCUUUUUCUGUAAAUUUGGUUUUUUUGCGUUCAUUUGUCUCGUUCAUGCUAUAUAACCUUUAAAAGAGAACAUGAGAAGGAAAAAGAAAUUGCUUAUCGAGUGAAUCAUGUGAGCCAUUUUUGAAUCGCCACGAAAUGACUCUUCAAUUUUACAUUGCCUAGAAUGAAUUUAAUAAAUUCUUAUAGUUAACCCUACUGAUCCGUUUUUUCAUCAGGCCCCAAAUUCCUUGUUCUAAUCAGUAUUGUCCUCAGGAGCAUACUAUCCAGAGGAAUUAUCAGCUCCGCAACUUUGCCUCAUGCUGCGCUAGUAUACAAGCAAUGUCAUAUUAAUAUAGAAUAAACAUUUAUUCGGGUUGUCUUCCAAUGGUGUCAAGUUACAUAUGGGCAUAUCAAAACCAUUAUACCAACAUGCAAUGUGACAUCAUUAUUUUUAAUGAUUAGAUACAAUCCGAAUUUAGGAGUCGACCCAAGUAAAGGUCGGCGAUUCCCAAAAUCACAAAUAGUCUGGAAAUUCAAACCACUGGCACUUUUUGGCUUAAGAAAGAUAAUCGAAAGCCAUUGUAUUCCACUAAACCCAUAAUGAAAGUUUGAUUAAAUGACUGCUUCAAAGACUUUUGAAUUGAACGUUUUGAAUAUUUUUUUUGAAAAGUGACUUAAUAUCUUGUGAAUCUUCCCACAGAGAGAAGACUAGUCAAUUGCCUAGAAUCUAAUUGCAAUUGGCUAAAAAUGAAUCCUACAUAUGUGUCACUUGGAUAAGAACGAGCUUGUUCGUAUC